CCUACGGGGGGCAGCAGUGGGGGAUAUUGCACAAUGGGGGGAACCCUGAUGCAGCGACGCCGCGUGGGUGAAGGAGUGCUUCGGCAUGUAAAGCCCUAUCGGCAGGGAAGAAGCAAGACGGUACCUGACUAAGAAGCCCCGGCUAACUACGUGCCAGCAGCCGCGGUAAUACGUAGGGGGCGAGCGUUAUCCGGAUUCACUGGGUGUAAAGGGAGCGUAGACGGCCAUGCAAGCCAGGGGUGAAAGCCCGGGGCCCAACCCCGGGACUGCCCUUGGAACUGUGCGGCUAGAGUGCGGGAGGGGCAGGCGGAAUUCCUGGGGGAGCGGUGAAAUGCGGAGAUAUCAGGAGGAACACCGGCGGCGAAGGCGGCCUGCUGGACCGCGACUGACGUUGAGGCUCGAAAGCGUGGGGAGCGAACAGGAUUAGAUACCCCAGUAGUC
rnacentral:rRNA from 1 species